UACAGAGGGUGCGAGCGUUGUCCGGAAUCACUGGGCGUAAAGGGCGCGUAGGUGGCGCGACAAGUCUGUGGUGAAAGCUCGACGCUUAACGUCGAGUCGGCCACUGAUACUGUCGGGCUGGAGCACUGUAGAGGCUCAUGGAAUUCCGGGUGUAGCGGUGGAAUGCGUAGAGAUCCGGAAGAACACCGGUGGCGAAGGCGGUGAGCUGGGCAGUUGCUGACACUGAAGCGCGGCAGCGUGGGGAGCAAACAGG
rnacentral:rRNA from 1 species